rnacentral:rRNA from 1 species
ACCAGACUCCUACGGGAGGCAGCAGUGGGGAAUAUUGGGCAAUGGAGGGAACUCUGACCCAGCAACGCCGCGUGAAGGAUGAAGGUUUUCGGAUUGUAAACUUCUGUCGCGAGGGAUGAAGAAUGACGGUACCUCGUAAGAAAGCCCCGGCAAACUACGUGCCAGCAGCCGCGGUAAUACGUAGGUGGCAAGCGUUGUCCGGAAUUACUGGGUGUAAAGGGAGCGUAGGCGGGAAGCCAAGUCAGCUGUGAAAACUACGGGCUUAACCUGUAGACUGCAGUUGAAACUGGCUUUCUUGAGUGAAGUAGAGGUUGGCGGAAUUCCGAGUGUAGCGGUGAAAUGCGUAGAUAUUCGGAGGAACACCGGUGGCGAAGGCGGCCAACUGGGCUUUAACUGACGCUGAGGCUCGAAAGUGUGGGGAGCAAACAGGAUUAGAUACCCCCGUAG